CUUGACAUCCAGAGAAUUUAGCAGAGAUGCUUUAGUGCCUUCGGGAACUCUGAGACAGGUGCUGCAUGGCUGUCGUCAGCUCGUGUUGUGAAAUGGUUGGGUUAAGUCCGCAACGAGCGCAACCCUUAUCCUUUGUUGCCAGCACGUAAUGGUGGGAACUCAAAGGAGACUGCCGGUGAUAAACCGGAGGAAGGUGGGGAUGACGUCAAGUCAUCAUGGCCCUUACGAGUAGGGCUACACACGUGCUACAAUGGCGUAUACAAAGAGAAGCGACCUCGCGAGAGCAAGCGGACCUCAUAAAGUGCGUCGUAGUCCGGAUUGGAGUCUGCAACUCGACUCCAUGAAGUCGGAAUCGCUAGUAAUCGUAAAUCAGAAUGUUACGGUGAAUACGUUCCCGGGCCUUGUACACACCGCCCGUCACACCAUGGGAGUGGGUUGCAAAAGAAGUAGAUAGCUUAACCUUCGGGAGGGCGUUUACCACUUUGUGAUUCAUGACUGGGGUGAAGUCGUAACAAGGUAAGCGUAGUGCU
rnacentral:rRNA from 1 species